UCUACCAUCUAUUGUUCAAGUCUAUUGCCCGAGUGACUUGAUGAGCAGCUUCCCUCAUCACACGGUCCCACCAUCGCGUUGCUGCCUUGUCACAGCCCAAAGCAAUGGACACAGAUGACCUAGUACUGCAUCCCUGAAAUGUGGAUGGAGAUAAGAUCUCUCAGCUCACUGCUCCUGUCACCCUAGUCACCAAAUACCUGCAGUGGCCUCUCCCUCAUGAAGCGUA